GAUGAACGCUGGCGGCGUGCUUAACACAUGCAAGUCGAACGAAGCACUUUAUUUGAUUUCCUUCGGGACUGAUUAUUUUGUGACUGAGUGGCGGACGGGUGAGUAACGCGUGGGUAACCUGCCUUGUACAGGGGGAUAACAUUUGGAAACGGCUGCUAAUCCCGCAUAAGCGCCCAGCAUCGCAUGAUGCAGUGUGAAAAACUCCGGUGGUAUAGGAUGGACCCGCGUUGGAUUAGCUAGUUGGUGAGGUAACGGCCCACCAAGGCGACGAUCCAUAGCCGAGCUGAGAGGGUGACCGGCCACAUUGGGACUGAGACACGGCCCAAACUCCUACGGGAGGCAGCAGUGGGGAAUAUUGCACAAUGGGCGAAAGCCUGAUGCAGCCACGCCGCGUGAGCGAUGAAGUAUGUCGGUAUGUAAAGCUCUAUCAGCAGGGAAGAUAAUGACGGUACCUGAAUAAGAAGCCCCGGCUAACUACGUG
rnacentral:rRNA from 1 species